GGGGGCCCGCACAAGCGGUGGAGCAUGUGGUUCAAUUCGACGCAACGCGAAGAACCUUACCUGGGCUCGAACGGCUCACGAAACCGCCUGGAAACAGGUGUUUCCCGCAAGGGACGGGAGUCGAGGUGCUGCAUGGCUGUCGUCAGCUCGUGUCGUGAGAUGUUGGGUUAAGUCCCGCAACGAGCGCAACCCUUGCCCUGUGUUGCUACUUCGUAAGAAGGCACUCUCAGGGGACCGCCAGCGAUAAGCUGGAGGAAGGUGGGGAUGACGUCAAGUCAGCAUGGCCUUUAUGUCCAGGGCUACACACGUGCUACAAUGGCCGGUACAAAGCGUUCCCAAGCCGUGAGGCGGAGGUAAUCGCAAAAAGCCGGUCUCAGUUCGGAUUGCAGGCUGCAACUCGCCUGCAUGAAGCUGGAAUCGCUAGUAAUGGCACAUCAGAACGGUGCCGUGAAUACGUUCCCGGGCCUUGUACACACCGCCCGUCACAUCACGAAAGCGGGUUGUACUAGAAGUCCGCAGGCUGACCCGCAAGGGGGGCAGCGGCCCAAGGUAUGACUCGUGAUUGGGGUG
rnacentral:rRNA from 1 species